rnacentral:rRNA from 1 species
AUUGAACGCUGGCGGCAUGCCUUACACAUGCAAGUCGAACGGUAACGGGCCUUCGGGUGCCGACGAGUGGCGAACGGGUGAGUAAUACAUCGGAACGUGCCCGAUCGUGGGGGAUAACGAGGCGAAAGCUUUGCUAAUACCGCAUACGAUCUACGGAUGAAAGCAGGGGACCGCAAGGCCUUGCGCGGACGGAGCGGCCGAUGGCAGAUUAGGUAGUUGGUGGGAUAAAAGCUUACCAAGCCGACGAUCUGUAGCUGGUCUGAGAGGAUGAUCAGCCACACUGGGACUGAGACCCGGCCCAGACUCCUACGGGAGGCAGCAGGGGGGAAUUUUGGACAAGGGGCGCAAGCCUGAGCCAGCCAUGCCGCGUGCAGGAUGAAGGCCGUCGGGUUGUAAACUGCGUUUGUACGGAACGAAAAGCCUUCUUUUAAUACAGGAGGGUCAUGACGGUACCGUAAGAAUAAGCACCGGCUAACUACGUGC